GGUUUUAGCUCAGUGGUAGAGUGCUUGUCUCUCAUAUGUGAGGCACUGGGUUUGAUCCUCAGCACCA
rnacentral:tRNA from 1 species